UUUAUAUUGAGGUACAAUUCCUGUUUCUUUGGCGCCGCGAUCAUAAGGUACUGUUGGUAACAGGACGUCCUUCUGAUUAAAAAAUAUAUAGUGUUAUAGGCACCGCAAUUGCUCAGUUUAAUAUAUGUGCUGGGUAAAAAAGCCCAUACACGACACACAUAUGUGUGCGCAUGCGGUUUACGCACAAAUUCUCAUUUCUCUCGUGCCGCCGAACAGUGAAGAUCGCGGACGAACAAAGGCAAAUGUUAAGGGGGGAGCCUGCUUUAGAGGUUUCAAAAAAUCGAUUUUUGAGGAUUUUUUUGGGAGGGAAAGAUAUAAUUGUCAAGUGAAAUUUCUAGGCUUAUAAAUAUAUAUUUGGUCAUUUUUCACAAAUUUUUUGGAUACGAAAUCUUUGAUAUUCUGCCUUUGGGAAGCAAUUGCCUGAUGGGUCUCGCAUGUGCAUUUUUCGGACGGCGGGCAGGAUGCAGGUCGCAAUUUUUAUCGGAAACAAAAAAUUCAAAGAUAUUUAUAUUUUUUAAUAAUUUAUCUUUUAAAAAGGGAAAAGAAGUGGUUUUUGACCAAAAAAUUGUACCUUACGUUGUUCAAAAAUAUGUUCAAACUUGAUUUUUCUUAUUUUUUUUAGUUUAAAUAGAAGGUAAUUUUAUGCCAAUGUUAAUAAACUUUGCCCUAAUUCCAUACGACGUCUAGUUUUUUUUCUAUCCUGUCCGCCAAUUAAGAAUAAUCGUAAAAAUGAAAAACCGAGAAAUCGCGCUUCAAAGUAUUCGCUUUUUUCCCAAGCGCUCAUAUAUCUGUUAGACGCUCGGUUACUAUUUCCCUUCUAUCUUGGACAAUAUUUCGAAUUCCAAUCUAUAACUUUGGGGAAAUAUUGUUAGAUAAUUUUUAAAGAGAUUAAAACCGAUUGUUUGAAGCUAAUGGCGUAAUUUCGGGUACUCAACUAUCCGAAAAUGGACCAAUCGAAUGGUGGACUACGCUGCCAUUAUAUUGCAAUUUGUCAGAAGAUCUAAAAACAUUGGUGACACCGCUCUUGACUGGUUUGUUAAAAAAAAUAUCUAGAGAAAACCCGGUGUUUGAUCGUUUCUCCAAGAAGUAACAUUAAUUUUGCGUAAAUUCGUUUUGCAUGUCUUUUUCACAAAUCGCACCACUUCUGUGGAAGUUUACCUCGAACCAGUCGUACAAAUUGAUAAAUUUCGUGAACGCAUAUUACUACAGCCGGAGUACCAAUAGAAAAGCAGAUAUUAUUAUUCAAUAAUGAGCCUUUGGAAAGUGACGUCCUCUUCCAUAUCUAAAGCUUUUCCUAAAACCACAGUAGAAAAUCCAAUAUUCCUAUAUAGUAAUGAUGACAAUAAUGUAACGUAACGUGUCGGUUGAAAAUUAUGCCAGUUUUGCUAAGGUGGGUGUUUAUUAUUUGGUUCAGAUUAUAUUUUAGUGAGUAUUUUAUUUAUUAUUUUUUAGGCCGCUUGUAGCGUUGGACAUGAAUGCAAGAGACACCUUUACAUUUAUGGGUAUUUUAAUAAAGCGUUCUGUAGAACAAGAAGACAGCAGUCGGGUCAACUGGCUGUUCUCCCUAAAUUAUAAUUAAUAAAUAUUAAUUCUAAUACGA